GAUGAAGAACGCAGCGAAAUGCGAUACUUGGUGUGAAUUGCAGAAUCCCGUGAACCAUCGAGUCUUUGAACGCAAGUUGCGCCCGAAGCCACUAGGCCGAGGGCACGCCUGCCUGGGCGUCACACGUCGUUGCCCCCCCCCCCAUCUACUCCUUCGGGAUUGCGGGGGGCGGAUGAUGGCCUCCCGGGCGCCUAGCCGCGCGGUUGGCAUAAAUACCAAGUCCUCGGCGACGCACGCCACGACAAUCGGUGGUUGCGAAACCUCGGUUGCCCGUCGUGUGCGUUCGUCGCGCAUCGAGGGCUCGAAAAAAUGCUCGGCUCCGGCUCGGCUUUCAACGCGACCCCAGGUCAGGCGGGGUUACCCGCUGAAUUUAAGCAUAUCAAUAAGCGGAGGA
rnacentral:misc_RNA from 1 species